rnacentral:piRNA from 1 species
UCUUAUGGAGCCAAUUUUCUCAGUUGAGGGU